rnacentral:lncRNA from 1 species
AUGGUCAGGACAACUACAGGGUUUCUGACCAUCUUUUCCUCCGCUGCAGCCCUGGAUGCCAGCCCUGAGCCUGCAACAAGACUCACAACUUCAGCCUGGGAGAGAUGCAGCAGCUGCUCUGGUCAGAGAUGGCUCCGGCUCCUCCAGAAACAAGAGCUGCAAGGCUUGGUCGGAGCAAGUGUCCAUCUAACGCGGGGCCAGUCCCUGGCAGUGCUCAUCAGAGGAAGCUACGGAAACCUUGUGGCCAGUUCGGGAAUAUAAAAAAAAAUCAAGGUACCAUCACAAUGGUUGUGGAGAGUCUGCUUUCCUCCUAGUCCUGUGUGCCCCUUGUAUUUGUGUCAGCCCCUGGGCUCAGUAGCCCUUGGAAGCUGGUUUCUCUGCACAGCAGGAACUCAUUUCUUUCACUCCGUUUUGCCACUUUCUAAUUGUAUCGACAAUUCCCAUUGUGCUUGUAUCGUCGUUGUGGCACAAGGAAGGACAAAUAUAUUUCCCUUGACGGUCAUUGCUGCUAGUCCAGAUGUAAGUUCCUCAUACACAAGCUGCGGUAAAAAUAGAUAACUUUGUUUAAAUGAGAAAGGAUACAAGCCUUUCCGGACCCUUGGAUGAGAGAGAGCACAUGGGGGGUUUAACUGAAAAAAUCCCUUACUGCUGCAAGGACACAGCAAGGCGUCUGUGACCUUCCCCUCCUCUCCUCCUGCUGUUCUGCUAGCCUGGGGGAUGUUGUGGCGUGUUGGAAAAAGGUUUGUGGAGGAUGGCAUUGGUGCAGCUGGUGUUCUGGGGCCGUUCCUGAGCUACCUCCACCACCUUGCUGCCUCCCAGAGGAGCUGUGCUCAGCGAUGCCGGCUGUGCUCCCAGGCUCUUCCCCACGGAGAGCUGCCGCUAUGAAUUUUCCAACAGCACAGCCUGUCCCAGUGAUGGGCAGGCACCAGCUUCUGGUUCUCCUUUCCUGCUUUUGAAAUUAACUUUUGCUGUGACUAGAAGUGUGUUGGUAUUCUCUGCCUGCAGCCCCGCAGCAAGAGAUCUCCAGCUCACGCCGUGAUUCCUAAUGAUGCGAGCAGCUUGCGGAGGGGGCGAGGGAUGCGGGGGGAGCGAGCGCGCUUCUGUGUACAACCUGUAGGAAUUUCUUUACAGUUGGGGCCUUUUAUGAGAGAGGAGAGGAGUACAGAGAGAUCUCUCUGUUCCUGUCACAUUUCUGCCACGGGCUUAUUAUUUCUUCUUAGAAAUGGUCCCGUUAAUCAAAUGUUCUGGGAAUGCAUGUCAUCAGUGGUAUCAAAAUCGCUGAUCUUUAUUAAGAAAUGAUGAAAAUUCAUUUUUGCCCACAGUGUGCUAGACCUGACAUCAGGCGACAUUCUCUGCCCGUUUCUAGGCCAACCUGCUUUAAGCAGAAUUACAUAGGAAAAGGGUAAGAGCAGAAUCAGCAUGUGCUGAACAUCCUGAGAGGGGUGAAGCCAAAGUCUGCGGAGGCAAGUGUAGAGCAUGAGGGUCUUAACUCUGCUCACUUGCACUUGAGGUAUCAAGCUACUUUCACUGUCAUCCCUCCCCUUCACCCUGGAAUGAGGGUGUUCAGAAUUAGCCCAGGUCUGUGUUGAAACCUGGGGUUUCCUACUCUGUGUCGUUCCUGCUCUGUGCCAUUCCAGGUGGGUGCUUGCACUUCACUUCCCUAUGGCUAAAUCGCUUCAACUAGUUUUAAUUUACUUGGAUCGAGCAACUAACAGUCACACAAGUGAGGAAUACAAGAAGUUAAGCAACUGAUGGCAAAGGAAAUCAUCCCUUUUCUCUGCACAAGUACACAUAUUUCAAGAUUUUCUGGCAGGAAGAGGCUGCACUGACUGCUGCACCGACCUCCAGCACUCUGCGUACCGCGGUGUCGAAGCCGUGUGCCGACAGCCCAGAAUCACGACCUCGAGAUCCUUCGCCCAGCCCCAGCACCGUUCUCCACCACUUCCCGGUGGCCACAGCAGCCCCCAGGGACCCGCAAGGGUGCGCAGGUGGUGGCCAGGCAGUCGGAGCUCCCUGGAUGAAACGGGCUUCAGAAAUUCAAAGCGUGAUCAUCACCAGCCCUCCCUCGUGUAAAUACUAACAGGGCUUUCAUCUGCCGUGCCGGAGUCGUCAGGCAGUCAGGAGCUAAUACCUGAUUAAACAACACCCAGCACAGAGAGGCUCAUUAUGUGGAAGGGAACGGAGGGAGACCUGUGGUUGUCUCUGCAGUUUGACUGCAUUUUAAAGAACCUGUGGAAGAGGAGGGGCUGGAGAAAGUGUUUUCGUACUUGAAAAAUGAUCAAACUUUGAUAACUUCAAGCCAGCUCGAGCAGUAGACAGGCAGCUCAGACAAACGUAUAAAACAUCAAAAGACGUGGAAUGGCAAGCGGUGCCUGAGAGCUCCAAAUAUAGCUUUCUGCAACAUAAUUCGUUCCUGAAGCAGAAAGGAGAAACUUUCAUAACGCCUUGUGCUACAGCCUUGUUUCUACAUGCGGGGACUGCAGGGACCUGGGCUUCACUCCGUAAGUGGUCAAAUUUGAAAAAGCACUAAUUAAAUGCAUGCAUAAUAUGUUAACGGUAGAAAUGCUCAACAUGAUAAAACAUUGUCGUUUGCUGAAGAAAGAAAAAAAAAAAACAACAAAAAAACACCACAAACAACAAAAUGUGGACUUUGAAAUUACAACACAAAUGCUGUACGUAGAACUGAGCUCCUGAUGUUCCUUGUAUAAGGUGUUUAAUCAUUUUAUUUGCAUUUACAAUUAAAAUCUAAUAGAUUUAUAGUGCUUUCUGAUGAGCAGGGUGCCACCGCUCCUACAAUAGCAGCGUGCAGCAGAGAGAGGCUCCCAGCAGCCACAGACCUUGUAAAACCUCUCCCGAGGCAGGCAGAAGAUGGAGGCCUGGCUCCUAUCUCCACCGAAGCACAUGCUCAGUGGAAUCGGAGUCCUGUUGACCUCAAUUACUUAAAAAAUAAAUAAAUCAGCAGAACUUGAGAACGUGCUCA